GGUUAAGCGACUAAGCGUACACGGUGGAUGCCCUGGCAGUCAGAGGCGAUGAAGGACGUGCUAAUCUGCGAAAAGCGUCGGUAAGGUGAUAUGAACCGUUAUAACCGGCGAUGUCCGAAUGGGGAAACCCAGUGCAAUUCGUUGCACUAUCGUUAACUGAAUACAUAGGUUAACGAGGCGAACCGGGGGAACUGAAACAUCUAAGUACCCCGAGGAAAAGAAAUCAACCGAGAUUCCCCCAGUAGCGGCGAGCGAACGGGGAGCAGCCCAGAGUCUGAAUCAGCUUGUGUGUUAGUGGAACGGUCUGGAAAGUCCGACGGUACAGGGUGAUAGUCCCGUACACCAAAAUGCACAGGCUGUGAACUCGAAGAGUAGGGCGGGACACGUGGUAUCCUGUCUGAAUAUGGGGGGACCAUCCUCCAAGGCUAAAUACUCCUGACUGACCGAUAGUGAACCAGUACCGUGAGGGAAAGGCGAAAAGAACCCCGGCGAGGGGAGUGAAAAAGAACCUGAAACCGUGUACGUACAAGCAGUGGGAGCACCUUCGGGUGUGACUGCGUACCUUUUGUAUAAUGGGUCAGCGACUUAUAUUCUGUAGCAAGGUUAACCGUAUAGGGGAGCCGCAGGGAAACCGAGUCUUAACUGGGCGUUAAGUUGCAGGGUAUAGACCCGAAACCCGGUGAUCUAGCCAUGGGCAGGUUGAAGGUUGGGUAACACUAACUGGAGGACCGAACCGACUAAUGUUGAAAAAUUAGCGGAUGACUUGUGGCUGGGGGUGAAAGGCCAAUCAAACCGGGAGAUAGCUGGUUCUCCCCGAAAGCUAUUUAGGUAGCGCCUCGUGAACUCAUCUUCGGGGGUAGAGCACUGUUUCGGCUAGGGGGUCAUCCCGACUUACCAACCCGAUGCAAACUACGAAUACCGAAGAAUGUUAUCACGGGAGACACACGGCGGGUGCUAACGUCCGUCGUGAAGAGGGAAACAACCCAGACCGCCAGCUAAGGUCCCAAAGUCAUGGUUAAGUGGGAAACGAUGUGGGAAGGCACAGACAGCCAGGAUGUUGGCUUAGAAGCAGCCAUCAUUUAAAGAAAGCGUAAUAGCUCACUGGUCGAGUCGGCCUGCGCGGAAGAUGUAACGGGGCUAAACCAUGCACCGAAGCUGCGGCAGCGACACUAUGUGUUGUUGGGUAGGGGAGCGUUCUGUAAGCCUGCGAAGGUGACCUGUGAGGGUUGCUGGAGGUAUCAGAAGUGCGAAUGCUGACAUAAGUAACGAUAAAGCGGGUGAAAAGCCCGCUCGCCGGAAGACCAAGGGUUCCUGUCCAACGUUAAUCGGGGCAGGGUGAGUCGACCCCUAAGGCGAGGCCGAAAGGCGUAGUCGAUGGGAAACAGGUUAAUAUUCCUGUACUUGGUGUUACUGCGAAGGGGGGACGGAGAAGGCUAUGUUAGCCGGGCGACGGUUGUCCCGGUUUAAGCAUGUAGGCUGAUUGUCCAGGCAAAUCCGGAUAAUCAAGGCUGAGGUGUGAUGACGAGGCACUACGGUGCUGAAGUAACAAAUGCCCUGCUUCCAGGAAAAGCCUCUAAGCAUCAGGUAACAUCAAAUCGUACCCCAAACCGACACAGGUGGUCAGGUAGAGAAUACCAAGGCGCUUGAGAGAACUCGGGUGAAGGAACUAGGCAAAAUGGUGCCGUAACUUCGGGAGAAGGCACGCUGGUGUGUAGGUGAAGCCCCUGCGGGUGGAGCUGAGACCAGUCGAAGAUACCAGCUGGCUGCAACUGUUUAUUAAAAACACAGCACUGUGCAAACACGAAAGUGGACGUAUACGGUGUGACGCCUGCCCGGUGCCGGAAGGUUAAUUGAUGGGGUUAUCCGUAAGGAGAAGCUCUUGAUCGAAGCCCCGGUAAACGGCGGCCGUAACUAUAACGGUCCUAAGGUAGCGAAAUUCCUUGUCGGGUAAGUUCCGACCUGCACGAAUGGCGUAAUGAUGGCCAGGCUGUCUCCACCCGAGACUCAGUGAAAUUGAACUCGCUGUGAAGAUGCAGUGUACCCGCGGCAAGACGGAAAGACCCCGUGAACCUUUACUAUAGCUUGACACUGAACAUUGAGCCUUGAUGUGUAGGAUAGGUGGGAGGCUUUGAAGCGUGGACGCCAGUCUGCGUGGAGCCAACCUUGAAAUACCACCCUUUAAUGUUUGAUGUUCUAACGUUGGCCCCUGACCGGGGUUGCGGACAGUGUCUGGUGGGUAGUUUGACUGGGGCGGUCUCCUCCCAAAGCGUAACGGAGGAGCACGAAGGUUAGCUAAUCCUGGUCGGACAUCAGGAGGUUAGUGCAAUGGCAUAAGCUAGCUUGACUGCGAGCGUGACGGCGCGAGCAGGUGCGAAAGCAGGUCAUAGUGAUCCGGUGGUUCUGAAUGGAAGGGCCAUCGCUCAACGGAUAAAAGGUACUCCGGGGAUAACAGGCUGAUACCGCCCAAGAGUUCAUAUCGACGGCGGUGUUUGGCACCUCGAUGUCGGCUCAUCACAUCCUGGGGCUGAAGUAGGUCCCAAGGGUAUGGCUGUUCGCCAUUUAAAGUGGUACGCGAGCUGGGUUUAGAACGUCGUGAGACAGUUCGGUCCCUAUCUGCCGUGGGCGCUGGAGAAUUGAGGGGGGCUGCUCCUAGUACGAGAGGACCGGAGUGGACGCAUCACUGGUGUUCGGGUUGUCAUGCCAAUGGCACUGCCCGGUAGCUAAAUGCGGAAGAGAUAAGUGCUGAAAGCAUCUAAGCACGAAACUUGCCCCGAGAUGAGUUCUCCCUGAGACUUUAAGUCUCCUGAAGGAACGUUGAAGACGACGACGUUGAUAGGCCGGGUGUGUAAGCGCAGCGAUGCGUUGAGCUAACCGGUACUAAUGAACCGUGAGGCUUAACCUU
rnacentral:rRNA from 1 species